UAGAGUUUGAUCCUGGCUCAGGAUGAACGCUGGCGGCGUGCUUAACACAUGCAAGUCGAACGUUGAAGCCAAGCUUGCUUGGUGGAUCAGUGGCGAACGUGUGAGUAACACGUGAGCAACCUGCCCUGGACUCUGGGAUAAGCGCUGGAAACGGCGUCUAAUACUGGAUAUGAGCUCUUACCCCAUGGUGGGUGUUGGAAAGAUUUUUCGGUCUGGGAUGGGCUCGCGGCCUAUCACUCUUGUUGGUGAGGUAAUGGCUCACCAUGGCGUCGACGGGUAGCCGGCCUGAGAGGGUGACCGCCCACCCUGGUACUGAGACACGGCCCAGACUCCUACGGGAGGCAGCAGUGGGGAAUAUUGCACAAUCGGCGGAAGCCUGAUGCAGCAAUGCCGCGUGAGGGAUGCCGGCCUUCGGGUUGUAAACCUCUUUUAGCAGGGAAGAAGCGUGAGUGACGGUACCUGCAGAAAAAGCGCCGGCUAACUACGUGCCAGCAGCCGCGGUAAUACGUAGGGCGCAAGCGUUAUCCGGAAUUAUUGGGCGUAAAGAGCUCGUAGGCGGUUUGUCGCGUCUGCUGUGAAAUCCCGAGGCUCAACCUCGGGCCUGCAGUGGGUACGGGCAGACUAGAGUGCGGUAGGGGAGAUUGGAAUUCCUGGUGUAGCGGUGGAAUGCGCAGAUAUACAGGAGGAACCACCGAUGGCGAAGGCAGAUCUCCUGGGCCGUAACUGACCGCUGAGGAGCGAAAGGGUGGGAGCAA
rnacentral:rRNA from 1 species